GGGCGGCCAGGCGAUCGCGUGGGAAACCAUGAGGAAAGUCCGAGCAUCACAGAGCAGGGUGCCAGCUAACGGCUGGUGGAGGCAACUCCAAGGAAAGUGCAACAGAGAUAUACCGCCCGGGCGUCCGUCCGGGUAAGGCUGGAAAGGCGAGGUAAGAGCUCACCCGGGGCCAUGGCGACACGGCUCCGCUGUAAACCCCACCCGAUGCAAGAUCCGACCAGAGGCGAUACGGCUGCUCGUCGUGCCUCUAAAGAGAUCGCUGGAGCUCUGCGGCGACGCGGAGAGUAGAUAGAUGAUCGUCCAACGACAGAACUCGGCUUACGACCGCAC
rnacentral:RNase_P_RNA from 1 species